rnacentral:rRNA from 1 species
GGCGAAGCGAUUAAGAGCGUAUGGUGGAUGCCUAGGCAUAAAAUGGCGAUGAAGGACGUGGCGUGACUGCGAUAAGCUUCGGUUAGUUGUUAAGCAAACUUUGACCCGGAGAUUUCCGAAUGGGAAAACCCGGCUGAGUAAACCUCAGUCAGCACUACACAUAAGUGGUAGUUGCAGCGAACCCGCUGAAGUAAAACAUUUCAUUAAGCGGAGGAAAAGACAUCAAUAGAGAUUUCCUGAGUAGCGGCGAGCGAAACGGAAUCAGCCUAAACUGAACGGUUUUUACCGUUCGGGGUGUAGAGAUGAGCAGUUUUGCUUUUCUCACAGCAUUUAUGUUGUGAGAUUAGUGAAACAGGGAGUUAGAAAAUUUUUAGCUAGUUGAAGUUUCUGGAAAGAAACGCCAAAGAGGGUGAUAGUCCCGUAAGCGAAAGCUAGAAAUCUCUCGUUCGUUUUCUUGAGUAAUUCGAGGCAAAAUAACCUUGAAUGAAUUUAGCAGUACUAUCUGCUAAGGCUAAAUACAUUUUAUGACCGAUAGUGAACUAGUACCGUGAGGGAAAGGUGAAAAAUAUCCCGUAGAGGGAGUUGAAAUAGAUCUGAAACCGUACGUUUACAAGGAGCAGGUGCCCAAAUCCAGCAUGAGCUGGGCGGGCUACUGCGUGCCUAUUGAAGAAUGACCCAACGAGUUUAUGAAUGUGGCAGGGUAAACGCCAAGAGUGUGCACCCAUAGCGAAAGCGAGUGUUAAAAGCGCGAAAUAAAUGUCGUAUUUGUAAGACCCGAAGCAAGAUGAGCUUGCCUUGAGCAGGGUGAAGCGAGAGUAAAAUCUCGUGGAGGCCCGAACCCGUGCAUCGUACAACGUGCUGGGAUGACUUGAGGUAAGGAGUGAAAAGCUAAUCGAAUCUUGUAAUAGCUGGUUCUCUCCGAAACAGUUUUAGGACUGGCGGAAAUACCAAAUUUAAAGGGGGUAGAGCUACUGGUUGAGAGUUACAGGCCGAAAGGUCGGGCUUUCAGUCAAACUCCGAAUACCUUUAAAUAUUUGUUUCUAGUUAGAAAGUGGGGGAUAAGCUCCAUUUUCGCAAGGGAAACAGCCCAGAUCGCAAGCUAAGGUCCCUAAAUUUAUGUUAAGUGGGAAAGGCAGUUGUUUACCAUAGACAGGUAGGAGGUUGGCUUAGAGGCAGCCAUCCUUUAAAGAGUGCGUAACAGCUCACUACUCGAUGGUCGACAGCGCCUAAAAUGUAACGGGGCUAAACAUAAUACCGAAGCUGCGGAU